rnacentral:rRNA from 1 species
UGGGGAAUUUUGGACAAUGGGCGAAAGCCUGAUCCAGCCAUGCCGCGUGAGUGAAGAAGGCCUUCGGGUUGUAAAGCUCUUUUAGUCGGAAAGAAAGAGUUGCAAUGAAUAAUUGUGAUUUAUGACGGUACCGACAGAAAAAGCACCGGCUAACUACGUGCCAGCAGCCUCGGUAAUACGUAGGGGGCGAACGUGAGUCGGAAUUACUGGGCGUAAAGGGUGCGCAGGCGGUCUUGCAAGUCAGAUGUGAAAGCCCCGGGCUUAACCUGGGAAUUGCGUUUGAAACUACAAGGCUAGAGUGCAGCAGAGGGGAGUGGAAUUCCAUGUGUAGCAGUGAAAUGCGUAGAUAUGUGGAAGAACACCGAUGGCGAAGGCAGCUCCCUGGGUUGACACUGACGCUCAUGCACGAAAGCGUGGGGAGCAAACA